rnacentral:rRNA from 1 species
GCAAGUCGAACGAAACUUCUUUAUCACCGAGUGCUUGCACUCACCGAUAAAGAGUUGAGUGGCGAACGGGUGAGUAACACGUGGGCAACCUGCCCAAAAGAGGGGGAUAACACUUGGAAACAGGUGCUAAUACCGCAUAACCAUAGUUACCGCAUGGUAACUAUGUAAAAGGUGGCUAUGCUACCGCUUUUGGAUGGGCCCGCGGCGCAUUAGCUAGUUGGUGGGGUAAAGGCUUACCAAGGCAAUGAUGCGUAGCCGAACUGAGAGGUUGAUCGGCCACAUUGGGACUGAGACACGGCCCAAACUCCUACGGGAGGCAGCAGUAGGGAAUCUUCCACAAUGGGCGAAAGCCUGAUGGAGCAACGCCGCGUGGGUGAAGAAGGUCUUCGGAUCGUAAAACCCUGUUGUUAGAGAAGAAAGUGCGUGAGAGUAACUGUUCACGUUUCGACGGUAUCUAACCAGAAAGCCACGGCUAACUACGUGCCAGCAGCCGCGGUAAUACGUAGGUGGCAAGCGUUAUCCGGAUUUAUUGGGCGUAAAGGGAACGCAGGCGGUCUUUAAGUCUGAUGUGAAAGCCUUCGGCUUAACCGGAGUAGUGCAUUGGAAACUGGGAGACUUGAGUGCAGAAGAGGAGAGUGGAACUCCAUGUGUAGCGGUGAAAUGCGUAGAUAUAUGGAAGAACACCAGUGGCGAAAGCG